GAUGAACGCUAGCGGCAGGCCUAAUACAUGCAAGUCGAACGGUGUCUUCGGGCAUAGUGGCGCACGGGUGCGUAACACGUAUGCAACCUACCUUACAUUGGGGGAUAGCCUUUCGAAAGGGAGAUUAAUACCGCAUAAGACAGUAGCUGGGCAUCCAGCAGCUGUUAAAGAUUUAUCGAUGUAAGCUGGGCAUGCGUCCAAUUAGCUAGUUGGGGAGGUAACGGCUCACCAAGGCAAUGAUUGGUAGGGGAACUGAGAGGUCAAUCCCCCACACUGGCACUGAGAUACGGGCCAGACUCCUACGGGAGGCAGCAGUAGGGAAUAUUGGGCAAUGGACGCAAGUCUGACCCAGCCAUGCCGCGUGCAGGAUGAAGGCGUUAUGCGUUGUAAACUGCUUUUAUACAGGAAGAAACGACUCUUGCGAGAGGCAUUGACGGUACUGUAUGAAUAAGCACCGGCUAACUCCGUGCCAGCAGCCGCAGUAACAC
rnacentral:rRNA from 1 species